UUUAAUUACAUCUUAAGGGAGUGGGGGGGGGACCCAAAGUGUAAACAUGACUCCUUUUUAUCUCCUGAUACAUCUGGACAAGUAGACAAUGUGCUAAAACAAACUAAAUCUGGCCUGACAGUCACUUCAAAGAGUUCAGCAAGAGUCUUGCCGCUACUUAAGGCGCAGGAAUGCCGUUGCUAAGCAUCUUUUUUCAACCUACCCGUCAGUAAAAGAAGAGCAAUUUCUUUCUUUCAGAGGCAGCCAAGAGAGUUAAAGGAUUUGGGGGGAUACGGGUGCUGUUAAUGAAGCAGACUUUCACAAACGGCUAAGAAUGCGUGCAGAUGUGUGUGUCCAGGCAAGGAUUUUAGUGCAAGGAUUUAUUUUGUCACUUGGCAAUAAGAGGUCAUUUGCACAGAGUCAAAUCAAUAAAGUUUUGGUCCUUUCUGUUUUCAGUUGCCCCUAACACAAGACAAACCUGAUUUUUCCUCUUCCCCUCUAGCUUUAAUAAAACGACGAGAACUGAUGAUGUUACCUAAUUGGGUAAUGAAACAUUCUGCAAGAAAACCACCAAGCUCAGAGAGCACCAAGGACCCCACAAUUCAACCCUCAGCUACAAAUAUUCUCUACUAUUGGAGCCUCUGUUAUCUUCCAUAAUGAUUGAAACUUUGAGAAAAAUUAAUGGUGCCUCCUAAGCUAGAAACCUUUUUUUAAAAAAAAAAAAAAAA